rnacentral:rRNA from 1 species
UACGUAGGGUGCAAGCGUUAAUCGGAAUUACUGGGCGUAAAGCGUGCGCAGGCGGCUUUGCAAGACAGAUGUGAAAUCCCCGGGCUCAACCUGGGAACUGCAUUUGUGACUGCAAGGCCAGAGUACGGCAGAGGGGGAUGGAAUUCCGCGUGUAGCAGUGAAAUGCGUAGAUAUGCGGAGGAACACCAAUGGCGAAGGCAAUCCCCUGGGCCUGUACUGACGCUCAUGCACGAAAGCGUGGGGAGCAAACAGG